UCACUCUUUUCACUUUAUUUUUUUUCCUUGGAAAGCAUAUGUUAUUUAACAUGUAAAGGGCAUAUAAAUAUACUUUUUAAAUGAAUAAACAAAUAUUUUCAGAUUUUUUGGCUUUAAUUUCUAAUAUGGCAAAUACUAAUAGAUAUUACUCACAUAAAUAAAAGCUCUUUGGGGUCCUCAACAAUUUUUUAGGGUAUAAGAGGUAUCAACCUUUUUCAAGACCGAAAAGGUUGAGAACUGCAGUUCUAUGUUAUUAAGAAGUGGGGCAAUGUGCCCAUUUAAAAGACUACAUUUUCCAGAUGCCUUUGCAGCUAAAUUUGGUCAUGUGGUAAGUUCUGGGUAAUCAUAUAUAAGCAGAAGUUUGUAAAAAGGACUUCCCGAAAGCCUACAUGGAGAACGAAUGGCUGGGAAAAUUCCUUUUUUGACUUUCUGCUUUUUCUCAUUCUCAGAGAAUACAUUUGUAUAUGAUUGUGGAAGCCCUAGCAGCUACCUUGAACUAUGAGGUGACCUUGAGGAUACAAGGUACUUGUAACCAAGAUGAAAAAAAGAUAAAAAAAAAAACAACGGCUGGAUCCCCAAUAACUAUGAUGUUGCCUAAUUAUCUACUCCAGGCUUCUUUUAAAUGGGAGACAAAAAAACCUUUUACAUCCUGUUUAAGCCUCUAUUAUUUCUAUUUUUCUGUUACAUGUAGCGGAACCUAAUCCUACUCUUUCCUUUAAAUGUGACAAUGUGCUAAGACCAACCACCGAGGACCUAGUUUUAGGAUGUGUAUUAUAUAAUGAUUUCUUCUGUAUUUUUAAAAUGGGGUUUUCUUUCCAUGUCUUAAUGUGUGAUACUGAAAAAACAUUAUUCUUCAGGAUUAGUAAUAAAGGCACUCAGAAAUUUGUUCAACUCUGAGCAACAAACAUUUCGGGAUCUCAUGCUAUUGGCAUGCAGUGAGCCAGGCUCUGAGCACAUGUGUCCUCACAGCCCUGUGGGUCAUGGGGGUAAAUCACCUCCCUCCAGGGCCCAGCACUGUCUUCACAGCCCUGCUGCAGGCCCCACUAUCGGGUAACACACUAUUCUCAGCAUGGAGAGAGAAGCAUACCUCUUUGUCACUUAACUUGUGUUUCUGGGGUAGGACUUAAAAUUCUCUUGAAUAAAUUUGUCAUCCCCACUCCUUGAACCAGAAUGGCCCAAAUAAACAAAGAGGCUUCCCUCUCCUGAAUUUUGAUGGGCUGACAUGUCUAAUUUCCCUGAUAAGCCAUGUCAUUUGUUCAGUGUUCUCCCAUGCUACCUUUGUCAAUAUAAUAACCAACUGAAUUUGAAAGUUGCAGAAAGUCAACAGACCUUGUCCAUGGACCCACCCUGCAACUAAAAUCUUCAAAGCAAAGAUAACUUUCUACAGAACAUCAGAUGGUCUCUUCCCUUGUGUUACACAGAAUCUAUUGCCAUUAACUGGUGGCAUCAUAGGUGAUGGGUAGGUAAAUGAGAGAUACCCAAAAGCCUUACUCAUAAAAACCAGGCAGAUUCUGUAAGGGGCAACAUGUUUAGAGUAAGCAAAUCUCUACCAUACUCCUUGGGUUCAGGAUGGAUUCAGGCUAGACCUAACCACGGCACAGCUUGGUGAGGCUAAAACAUGAUAAUAUAUGAUCAAAAACUACAAACUCCGCAGAGCUGUAUGUCAGCUAUAGUUAUUAACUUGUGCUCUCUUGAUAGGGAAAGAAAAUUCAAUUAAAAGUUUAGGCUGAAUUAGAAUAUUGGGUUUGCUACUUGUUUGCUGGGUGACUUUAGGCAAGUUGCUUAACCUUGCUGAGCACAAGAAAUAAUUAGGUACAGUCCAGGGGUAUCCAACCUUUUGGUUUCCCUGGGUCACAUUGAAAGAAGAAGAAUUGUCUUGGGCCACACAUAAAAUACUCUAACACUAUGAUAGCUGAUGAGCUAACACACACACACACACACACACACACACACACACACAAAAUCUCAUAAUGUUUUAAGAAAGUUCACGAAUUUGUGUUAGGCCACAUUCAAAGCCAUCCUGGGCCACAUGCAGCCUGUGGGCCACGGGUUGGACAAGCUUGAUGUACACCUUUUCAAAUACUGAUGUUCAUUUUAGCAGAUGGACUAACAUGGGUAAAAAGGUGCUAACAGAGUUUGAAAAAUGACUUUUUUAAAAAAUCAAUUUUACCCUAACAUAACAUUUAGGGUUAGAUUUGUUUUCUUUUCUUUCUUUCUUUUUUUCUUUUUUUUUUUUUUUUUUUGAGAUGGAGUCUUGUUCUGCCACCCAGGCUGGAGUGCAAUGGCGUGAUUUCAGCGCACUGCAACCUACACCUCCCAGGUUCAAGCAGUUCUCCUGCCUCAUCCUAUCGAAUAGUGGGAUUUCUGGCGCACGCCACCAUGCCUGGCUAAUUUUGAGUUGAGAUUGGGGUUUCACCAUGUUGGCCAGGCUGGUCUCGAACUCCUGACCUCAAGUGAUCUGCCUGCCUCAGCCUCCCAAAGUGCUGGGAUUAGAGGCGUGAGCCACAGCACCCGACCUAGAUUUGUUCUCAUAUAACUAAAAACUCAACAUAACUUUAACUUAAAGAAGAUCAGUUUACUUCUCUGUCACAUAAAGGAAGUCUAGAGGUAGGUAUUAAAGCACUGCUCCCUCUGUCCUCAGUGGCCUAGGCUCCUAUCUUCCUCCUGUGCCAUCUUCCUUCAGCAUGUGGCUUUCCUCUUGAAAGUCACCUUAUGGUCUAAGAUGGCUGCUGAAGCUCCAGCAUUAUGUCCAUGCUCGAAGCAGAAGGAAAGAGAAACAGACAGGAAAAAAAGAGCAUACCUCACACCUGAUUCAACUCUCUUAAAGAAAGCCUUCCUGAAAGAUCCAUGCUGUACUUAACACUUCCACCUUCUGACCAGAAUUUGGCCAGAUGGCCACACUAAGCUGCGCAGGAGUCUGGGAAAUGUAGUCUUCUUGGUUGCUGUUCUGUUACAAAGGGAAAAGGGUAGAAUAAUUGUUAGGUAGGCAACUAGCAGCCUGUUCCAUACUUGGUCCUCUCUCUCUGUCUCUCUGUUUCUCUGUCUCUCUCUUCCUUCUGUCUGGAUUCAAAUAACUGCUCAAGAAUUUGGAAUUUAAGAAAAAAUGUUUGUUUUGAAUUCCUCUGCUGAACCAAAAAUAUUAACUUUGAAAUGCCAAGUAUAAAUACACAUGACAGAUGCAAGGUUUUGGCUAAAGAAGUUUGACUUGUAACUUUAGAAUAACAGAUGCACUUAUCAGCAGGAGAGCUGUCAAUGAGUUACAGAGCAUCUGAGCUGUAAAAUAGGCAAGCUUUAACUAAACCAUGACACCAAGGACUUGUUUGUAUCACAUAUUUGUCUCAUAUGGCUGGAUUUUUGUGGGAUUUUUUUUGAUCCCCCAUCUUCCUACUUGAAGGACAUCAGUUGUUAUGGACACAGUGACAUUAAAUUCAUAUGGCAAGAUUUGACAUAAACAAAGUAAAGUAAGUUCAUUCCAGAGGCUGUGACUUAAUAAGCUCGAAUUUUCCAGAAUUUAACCUGGUCCCUGAGUUUGGUGGGGACAGGAUGGGAGGGAGGAAGAGCAGGAAGCCAGACACCUUUGGGAGCUGCCACGAGUUCUUUGGGAGCAUUAGAGCUAUAUUUGGUGCAAUUAAGUUGCUAAUUCAGUAAAAACUACACAGUUCCCUUGUGGCCUGGGAAAGUAAAAUGCAGCUGCUAAAGGUGGCUGAUUUACAAGCCGGGAAUGGCUGAGGUACCGGGGGAAAUGAGCCAGAUUCUUCCAAAAGCCUAAAUCACUCUCUUAGUCAGGCGAUCAAAACAGCAUGCUCACCCUGGGCAGAGCACCAGAGUUGGGCAGCCUCCAAAACUGGCCUUGAAAAAAUUCCCAGUUUUUCAGCAGGAUUAGACCCUUGCCUCUCCUUCAUUCCUCAGAAGGAUGCAGAAAGUGUAAGGGAUUCCUUAAAGGAUCACAGUUCAGUCCCUACACUUUCCCAAACCCCAAUCCCGACCCAAGGGAAAACAACGUAAAAGGCAGAGAGGUAUGUAUUUAGUCUGUGAUCUGUUCCAUUAGCAAGUUCAGGUCACUGGGGAUUGCAUCAGGCCAGCUGGGGUGGGCGGGGCUCAUCUGAAGGGCUAUGCAGACUAUCUACCACACAUCCUCAGUGGGCACCAUUCACAGCAUAGUCUAAUUUACUGGUUCUCAAACAUGGUGGGUGCAUAUUAGAAUUACUUGGGCAUUUAAAAAAAUCCCAAGCCAGGAUGCAACUCAGAACAAUUACAUCAGACAACCUGGAGGAGGGACUAAGACAUCAAUAAUGUUUAAAUUUCCUCCAAAUGUUUCCAACAUGCAGCUGAGUUUAAGGCCCAGUGGUCUCAUUCAUGUAGACUUUGAUGUGAAUGGCACUCCCUGUAGCUGUGCUGAGUAUGACCUGCAAAGACAUAUUUCAUAGUCCUAGGUGGAGGUGGAGAUGCAAAGAGUUAGCAGAGGACAAUAGGGAGAUGGGGAUGCCUUCUAGGAAAAAAAAGACAUGUCAAAAGGAAAUCUAGAAAGUGGCCCUCACACCAGCCUCCUGUGACUAGGGUUGCCUGUAGACUGGGUAAAAAAAAAAAUAAGACAUUCUAUUAUUUGGGGCUCCUGAACAGUUUACAUGAUCCCAGAUUUCUCUCCUGUUAAUCUGCUCUAGUUCCUAAUCUUCAUUUCUUGGAUAUUGUCUUAGAUAUGUAUUUUAUGUAAUUAAAAUAGCAACCAACAAACACUCAUGCAUCACUUCAGAGUUUGCAAAGCCGUGUUUCAAUGCCCAUUAUCCUCACCGGGAUGACUCAUAAAGUCUCUGCCCCCUGUCUGUGGAGUCCAAGUCCCUUUCUUUCUCAGAUCCAGGUGCCAUUAGAACUGGAGGAUUGGUUUUUCACCAGCUUCUACACAGAGGUUUCCCACCUAUGGUGUCUGCUGGGAAUUUUUUUUCCUUUGCUGAAUUUUUAAUUACUGUGAAACAACUUGGAGCAUGAGUUUAUGGGCAAAAUCAGCAUUUCCAAUGUGGCCUCAUCCUUGCUCAAGGUAGGGCCCCAGGUCAAAUGGCCGUCUGAUCUCCACCAAAGGCCCAGUGUUAGGCACAAAGGAGGCACUUAGCAGCGCUUUGUGGAACAAAUGCAGAGUGGAUGCUGCGUUGGCAAACCAUGCAGGCAGCCACCAGUCAGGAGAAAGGCUCUGGGUGCUGAGAGGGAGACUUACAGCCACAGAAAAGAACGGAAUAUUCCAAGCUUAAGUAGUUUUAAAUUUGGUUGAGGAUUCUGGUCUUAGCCCAUCUUCAGCCUUGUCAAAGGCAAUAGUCAAAGAGGGCUCCCGAAACUGUCCUGGUGAGCCAGAAUGCAGGCUGAGUUCACAGUCUGGGUCCUCGGGUGGCCUAACACUCAUGUGCAGUCACCAGGUCUCUGGUCCACAGGCAGUAGGAGCAGAGCAGCCAAUUUCCUGUAGCCAAAAGACUUGGCCCCUGACUGGCUGAGUGGCUGUGAACACGUCCCUGAAAAUUGUCAUGCCUCUGUCUCUUUGAUCCGACAAGUGGGGUUAAUAGUCCCAGCCUCUUAAUGUUGCUGUGAGACUCAGCUGCUGUUUAGCACGGCGCUCCAUAAAUGGUGGCAGUGGUAUUAUUGCAGGCUCCGGUCUAUCUCCGAUUUUACUGCCUUCACCAGUGAAAACCAGCAGGGCGAGCCUGGUCUCCUUCCUGUUCCCCACAGCCUGAUCUGACAGGCUCUCUAUCACCGGGCCAUGAUGUGUGCUUGUUUCAUGGAUCAGGAGAUAACUAAUACUUUUAGCAGGAUAUAUUUGAACUGUAAGGUUCCAGUUCAGUCCUUUUCUUUAAGGACCUAGAAUAGUGAUUAAGAAAAUAAGUUCCGGAGUCAAAAUGGGCUCAAAGUUUUGCUCUACCACUGUGCUAUAUAUAGCCUUGAUGAUAGGGUUUGGC
rnacentral:lncRNA from 1 species